rnacentral:rRNA from 1 species
CCUGGCGGCAGUAGCGCGGUGGUCCCACCUGACCCCAUGCCGAACUCAGAAGUGAAACGCCGUAGCGCCGAUGGUAGUGUGGGUGCUCCCCAUGCGAGAGUAGGGAACUGCCAGGC